rnacentral:rRNA from 1 species
AGCAGCCGCGGUAAUUCCAGCUCCAAUAGCGUAUAUUAAAGUUGCUGCAGUUAAAAAGCUCGUAGUUGAAUUUCGGGACCGAUAUAUCGGUCGUGCCUCGGUACGUACUGGUAUUUUCGGUUUCUACCUUCUGACGAACCUUGAUGUCAUUAAUUUGGUGUCUUGGGAAAUCAGGACUGUUACUUUGAAAAAAUUAGAGUGUUUAAAGCAGGCUCACGCUUGAAUACAUUAGCAUGGAAUAAUGAAAUAGGACGUUUGGUUCUAUUUUGUUGGUUUCUAGGAUCGACGUAAUGAUUAAUAGGGAUAGUUGGGGGCAUUAGUAUUCAAUUGUCAGAGGUGAAAUUCUUGGAUUUAUUGAAGACUAACUACUGCGAAAGCAUUUGCCAAGGAUGUUUUCAUUAAUCAAGAACGAAAGUUAGGGGAUCGAAGACGAUCAGAUACCGUCGUAGUCUUAACCAUAAACUAUGCCGACUAGGGAUCGGAUGAUGUAAUUUUUAAUGACUCAUUCGGCGCCUUACGG